CCACCCCGCAACGGCAGACAGCGAAUAACCGACAACACGUCGCUGCUCGACUCGCUGUCACGACGUCGAGCACAAUGGCGGCCAGAUUCCUCCUCCUCCCUUUCCUCGUUAUCUUCCUCGUACCGCCGGCGGCCGCCGCCAACUUCACCUGCCUCUCGCGCGGUCGCGCCGCCCGGUGCCAGGGCCUCGUCGGCUACACCGCUCGCAACGCCACCAACCUCGCCGGAGUCAUGACCCUUUUCCAGAUCCGCUCCUUCCGCUCCCUCCUUGCCGCCAACGACCUCCCCCUCUCCACCCCGAGCUCCCGCUCCGUCCCUGCUGGCUCCACCCUCCGCGUCCGCCUCUCCUGCUCCUGCUCCGCCGGCCGCGGCGCCUCCGCCCACCGCCCACUCUACCGGGUCGUCCCCGGCGACAACCUAGAUUCCAUCUCUCGGAAUACCUUCGACGGACUCGUCACCUACCAGGAGAUCGCCGCCGCCAACAACAUCUCCGACCCUAGUUUGAUCCAACUAGGGCAGGAGGUCUACAUCCCCUUGCCCUGCAGCUGCGACGAGGUGGAGGGCCUUCCGGUGGUGCACUACGCGCAUCUGGUGGCGGCAGGCAGCACAGUGUCGGGCAUCGCGGCGGAGUUCGGGACAAAGGAGGAGACAUUGAUGAGUCUGAAUGGGAUUACGGAUCCCAAAACCCUCCAGGCUGGCCAAGUUCUUGAUGUUCCUCUCAGAGUGUGUUCUUCAGCAAUUAGUAAUGCCUCUUUGGACAGUGGCCUCCUUGUUUCUAAUGGAAGUUAUAUUCUGACUGCAAACAACUGUGUCCGCUGCAGCUGCAGCUCAUCAUCGUGGGAGCUGGACUGCCAUCCGACCCAGGGGAUCAGUUCUUCAGUUUGCCCAGUAGCAACCUGCAAAGCUCUCUCCCUUGGCAACUCAUCCAGCGCAGUCUGUGAGAGCACAACAUGUGCCUAUGCUGGCUACACCAACACUAGCUCCUUCAGAAUACUCACCAACUUAACAACUCAGUCAUUGUGCAAUACUGCAGGAGCGCCGGCACCACAACCCAGUGGCGGGUUUUCUCCAGGGGUCGAGGCUCAAUCAUUGUAUCUCUUGCUACUCUACAUUUCCCUUGCAAUGGCUCUGCUAGGUUGGGGAUCAUGAUGUAAAAGAUAAAAUCCCAAGAUCUUGUAGCAUCGUAUGAAGUCUAAAGUCUCUUUCCCCAAUAGAAGGCCAUCAAAAGAUAAAGAAGGAAAAGGAAGAUCAAAACCAUGGAUAACUAAGACUGAGGAAUGUAUAAGCAACCAAAAACUAAGGUUAGUGAUGCAGUGAAAGGACGUCUUCUUAAUUUUUCAGAUUGUGCUCCAAAAGCUCAAGAUAGGAAGUUUAUCAUGUGGGUACUCACAAUGGUGAUCUUGCUUGCUGAAGAAUUGUCAACAUAAAGCUUUCAAGAUCUUGCUCUUGGGGGAGCACUGUGAUGCCUUGAUCUUUCUGCAUUUCCAUGCUGUUGAAAUCUGCAUUGACGCUCCACCUCCAGGAGACACUUCUGCAUCAUCUGAAGACAUAUUACUUCCUGCAGAAUCUAAAUCUGAUUCUUUUGUGAAAGAAGAAAGGUUUUCAGAGAGUGUCAAUUUUUUCAUCUCUACUCGUUCUCUAAUGUUACAUUGACUUAAAGAUAAUUUCUUUUGU